UUCCGGUUGAUCCUGCCGGAGGUUACUGCUAUCGAGGUCCGACUAAGCCAUGCGAGUCGAAUGUAGCAAUACAUGGCGAACUGCUCAGUAACACGUGGACAACCUACCCUCAGAUCUGGGAUAAACCUGGGAAACUGGGUAUAAUACCGGAUAGGUCUUGGAUGCUGGAAUGCACCGAGGCCCAAAGCUCCGGCGUCUGAGGAUGGGUCUGCGGCCUAUCAGGGUAGUAGUGGGUGUGAAGUACCUACUAGCCUACGACGGGUACGGGUCGUGAGAGCGAGAGCCCGGAGAUGGAUUCUGAGACACGAAUCCAGGCCCUACGGGGUGCAGCAGGCGCGAAAACUUUACAAUGCCGGCAACGGCGAUAAGGGGACCUCGGGUGCCAGGAUACAAUCCUGGCUGUCGUAAUGCCUAAAAAGCAUUAUAUAGCAAGGGCCGGGCAAGACCGGUGCCAGCCGCCGCGGUAACACCGGCGGCUCGAGUGGUAACCGCUAUUAUUGGGUCUAAAGGGUCUGUAGCCGGCCUGGUAAGUCUUUUGGGAAAUCCGGCAGCUCAACUGUCGGGCAUUCAGAGGAUACUGCUAGGCUCGAGACCGGGAGAGGUGAGAGGUACUUCAUGGGUAGGGGUGAAAUCUUGUAAUCCUUGAAGGACCACCAGUGGCGAAGGCGUCUCACCAGAACGGAUCUGACGGCAAGGGACGAAAGCUAGGGGCACGAACCGGAUUAGAUACCCGGGUAGUCCUAGCCGUAAACGAUACUCGCUAGGUGUCGGCCACGGUGCGACCGUGGUCGGUGCCGUAGGGAAGCCGUGAAGCGAGCCACCUGGGAAGUACGGCCGCAAGGCUGAAACUUAAAGGAAUUGGCGGGGGAGCACUACAACGGGUGGAGCCUGCGGUUUAAUUGGAUUCAACGCCGGA
rnacentral:rRNA from 1 species